AAAAAAAAAAAAAAAAAGGAGAUUUAGUUACUAAAAGAUGUGUUUUGCCAUACAUAAUCGAUAGUCAUUAUAUUAGCUACAUAAGCUAAUAGAAUUAUUUCCAUGGAAAUCAUACUAAGCCUUAAAUCCAGCAUCAGCAUAACAGCAAUAUCUAAAUGAAAGCAAAUGAGUGCAUGAAUAAUUGCUUAUCAAUCAUGAAGACACCAUUUUCAAUAAUGUACAUCAAUAAAUGGAUAUCAUCCUCCACAAUGUAGCCAUAUGAUUUGAAAUAUUUUUACAUCACUUUUUUUGCCAUAAACAAA
rnacentral:misc_RNA from 1 species